GCGCUGUUGGUCGUUAUCAUUCCAUAUUCAUUUCCAUCGUCGUGCGCGUGCCAGGUGGAGUAAAUCCGCGGUGCUCGAGACCAGAAACGUCCCGCGUCAAGCUUCGGGCUCCACGGCAGUAAACCCCCUCCCCCGCCCGAUGGAGAUUUGGUUGAGAGCUGUUCCUAAGGACAAGAAUUCACUUUUAUGCUAAAAGGAACUGCAUCCAAGUGGGACUCAAUUAUGUGACUGUCAUCUGGCCAGAGUCUUCCACAAGGACUCACUUACCACAAAUCACUUAGCACCUUAAGAUCUCUGCUGAAACAGCAAGGGCUCUGGACAAGAGACUGAAUGAACACCAGGAGCAGGACAACAUCACACCAAAACAAAUCUGCUCACAGAAUUGACCUAGAAGAGGUCAAUGGUCAUCGGCCAGGUCACUGGAUAACUGGAGAAAGAUCAGAGAGGCCUUUCACAUCUAACACCGAAGACCAUCUUUGAACAGAGACAUCUCUGCUCCAUAUAGGACAGCACAUUGUCAUGUAACCAAUGUUCUACACUCAACUUAUAUUAUGUUAUACUGAGCAAUCUCCAUCUGAUGAGGAAGACCAUAAGAUGCAGCUGAAAACUCUGUUAAAAAGCUAACCAUAUGAAUAAAGUGUGAUGACCUUA